GUGCCAAAGAGACAACAACCCGACCAUAGAAAAAACAACAGCAGAAGGUCACCAACAGGUCUUCAAUGUAGCGAGAAAUUCCCGCACCCGGAGGCGUCCUUCAGCUGGCCCCUAAACAAAUAUAUACUAGUUCAGUGAUAAUGAACGCCAUACUAAUUUCCAAAUUGUACACAAGAAACUAAAAUUAAAAUAAUACAAGACUAACAAAGGCCAGAGGCUCCUGACUUGGGACAGGCGCAAAAAUGUGGCGGGGUUAAACAUGUUUGUGAGAUCUCAACCCUCCCCCUAUACCUCUAGCCAAUGUAGAAAAGUAAACGCAUAACACUACGCACAUUAAAAUUCAGUUCAAGAGAAGUCCGAGUCUGAUGUCAGAAGAUGUAACCAAAGAAAAUAAACAAAAUGACAAUAAUACAUAAAUAACAACAGACUACUAGCAGUUAACUGACAUGCCAGCUCCAGACUUCAAUUAAAGUGACUGAAAGAUUAUGAUUUCAUCAUAUGAACAUCAGGC
rnacentral:lncRNA from 1 species